GAUAUCCCAAUACCCACAUAUCCGCCUGAGAACUACGAGCACAAACGCUUAAAACUCUAAGGACUUGGCGGUGCCUCAAACCCACCUAGAGGAGCCUGUUCUAUAACCGAUAAUCCACGAUUCACCCAACCACCCCUUGCCAACACAGCCUACAUACCGCCGGUCGCCAGCCCACCUUAAUGAAAAGAACAAACAGGGAUUAGAUCAGUCACUAGAAUACAA
rnacentral:rRNA from 1 species